rnacentral:rRNA from 1 species
CACGGACCGCACGAACGUUAUUCGGUAUCACUGGGCUUAAAGGGUGCGUAGGCGGCUUUGCAAGUUGGGUGUGAAAGCCCUCGGCUCAACCGAGGAAUUGCGCUCAAUACUGCCGAGCUCGAGAGAGACAGAGGUAAGCGGAACUAAUGGCGGAGCGGUGAAAUGCGUUGAUAUCAUUAGGAACACCGGUGGCGAAGGCGGCUUACUGGGUCUUUUCUGACGCUGAGGCACGAAAGCCAGGGGAGCGAACGGG